UCCACCUCAGUCUCCACCUCCCCCAACCCCAGCUUGAGAAACUGGAACGUCGAAUAGCAUUUCCCAUGGGCAUAAAGUUCCAGCUGCUCUACCAGUUCCUUCCAGGAUCGAACUGUAGCCACAAGACGACUAUCCGAAGAAUGUAAGAAGGGGGCUUUCGGGGAAAGCGUGCAAGGAAGGCAGAAGCAACCGAAUAAACAAAAACAACACCCUCAAGAGUUAGGCACAGCAAAGAGGGGGCGAGGUUCCUCUGGACCAGACCAGCCAGUUCUGAUUUCACACCGACCUCCAUCAAGAGCGCCGGGAGGAGGAUCGAACAGGUCCGUCCCUCCCUCGGCCCGAGGAGCACGGGCCCGGGGGUGGCAAGACAUGAACACCUAGAGAUUCACGUGUCUAUGGGGAACUGGAAUGUUGAGGAAUGGAAACAAAUGGAAAUAUAUUACACAAGUAGAACUUCAGCUGUGACCUGAAAUGUGUUACCUAAGAGCUUUGGCCUCAAGUACUUGAUAACAUGCAAGGUUGAUCAUCAAGCAUCUUUAUUGCACUUGUGUUUCCAAAGUACAUUUUGGUCUUCUAUUAGUUAUUCUGUUCAAUCACAUUACAAGAGAGAAUUCUGUGUCAGAGAUCCUGUUGGAAAAUGAAGAACCUAAAUGUCUGGAAAAAUUAAAUGACUACAAUGUAACCCCCAUUCUAACCUCUCUCUUGAUGAAGAAAGAUCAUCUUCUCUGGGACUUGUGCUUUCAUGUGUAUUAGGUUCUGAAAGACGAGUAGUAUGCCAUGUCACUACGGACAGAGAAAAGGAUGUCCACAGCCAAGGUGACACCUGAGAGCUCGUACACUUUGUGGGAUCGUGAUAGUAGUUCAAAACAUCAACCUGAGAAAAACAAAUGAAACUGAUGACCAAGUGGGAAGUACGAGUGGUAUAAGGGAUUAAAGGGUGUGUGGAUCAAAACAUCGCCAACCUCCUCACUUUCUCCUUUUUUAUUCUUUAUAGACCCAGCCACUGAUAGGAGCCGCCCGUUUCAGGUGAAGUGAUGUGUUGUUUUCUGUGCUCUGAAGGUGCUGAUUUCCAGUGUCUGCAAUGUUACAUCCGUGAGUUUUUCCAGCUUGGAAACUGAACGCUCCAAGAAAGUGGAUCCCUUUUCUUCUGCUGUUAUGCCAGGGAAACAUUCGGCCAAAAUAACCUUUCUGCCAGUUUGCAUCCUAACUCAGAGAGGCUGCUGGUCAUGUGAACAAAGAAAACUGAUGUUUGGUCGUGAAGGAGUGUGAUGAAAUUCUGCUUUAUCUUUUUCUAUCUCAAUACAACAAUAUGGAGACGGGUUAUUUUCUUUGAGUACUUGUCACCUGCUUUGUGAUUUGUUCGACUUGGCGGCCUUCUCUGCGUGAUGAGAGCCUCCAUAAGGACAGUUUUCCUCCUCAUU